AUUGAACGCUGGCGGAAUGCUUUACACAUGCAAGUCGAGCGGCAGCGCGGGGCAACCUGGCGGCGAGCGGCGAACGGGUGAGUAAUGCAUCGGAACAUGUCCAUGUCGUGGGGGAUAGCCCGGCGAAAGCCGGAUUAAUACCGCAUACGCCCGAGAGGGGAAAGUGGGGGACCGCAAGGCCUCACGCGAUUGGGUUGGCCGAUGUCCGAUUAGCUUGUUGGUGAGGUAAAGGCCUACCAAGCCGACGAUCUGUAGCUGGUCUGAGAGGACGACCAGCGACACUGGGACUGAGACACGGCCCAGACUCCUACGGGAGGCAGCAGUGGGGAAUUUUGGACAAUGGGCGCAAGCCUGAUCCAGCAAUGCCGCGUGCAGGAAGAAGGCCUUCGGGUUGUAAACUGCUUUUGUACGGAACGAAACGGCCUGGGUUAAUACCCUGGGCUAAUGACGGUACCGUAAGAAUAAGCACCGGCUAACUACGUGCCAGCCGCCGCUGUAA
rnacentral:rRNA from 1 species